rnacentral:rRNA from 1 species
AGAUUGAACGCUGGCGGCAUGCCUUACACAUGCAAGUCGAACGGCAGCACGGGAGCAAUCCUGGUGGCGAGUGGCGAACGGGUGAGUAAUACAUCGGAACGUGCCCAAUCGUGGGGGAUAACGCAGCGAAAGCUGUGCUAAUACCGCAUAAGAUCUACGGAUGAAAGCAGGGGAUCGCAAGACCUUGCGCGAAUGGAGCGGCCGAUGGCAGAUUAGGUAGUUGGUGAGGUAAGGCUCACCAA